UACGAGGGGAGCAAGCGUUGUUCGGAUUUACUGGGCGUAAAGGGCGCGUAGGCGGUUGGACAAGUCACUUGUGAAAUCUUGAAGCUCAACUUCAAGCUGCCAAGCGAUACUGUUCGACUAGAGUGCAGAAGGGGCAACUGGAAUUCUCGGUGUAGCGGUGAAAUGCGUAGAUAUCGAGAGGAACACCUGCGGCGAAGGCGGGUUGCUGGGCUGACACUGACGCUGAGGCGCGAAAGCUAGGGUAGCAAACGGG
rnacentral:rRNA from 1 species